UAAAAAAUUUUCUUCCUCUGCUCAAACCUCUCUCUAAAGUUCCCUUCUCAGAACUCUCUAAUGAUCAUUUCUACAAGUUGUGAUGAAAUCAAGUUGUAGGAUGAUUCAAAAGUGAGAAAGGGAUCCCCUUUAUCAUUCAAAAUAUUCAGAGGUGAAAAGAAAUUAUUUUCGAUUUUAGGUUGGAUGUUAAAAAACUCUUCAUAGACUUUUGCUCCAGCGCACUGCUGCUACAAGAUGGAUAGGUUAGGUUGGCAUCAUUGGGGAAAAAAUAAUAUUAGGUUUGACUUCAACUUUUUCAUUCAUCUCGGAGAAGGGAUCGAGCUAUCAAAUCCUGAAAUCAGUUUGUUGGCAGAAAAAUUCAAAGACAUAUUUCUCCGAGACUGAAACUUCUUCUAUGAUUAAUUAAAUAUUGUUUGAUAAGUUUGAAUCAUUUAUAAUUUGUUAUGUGCUUGGAUACUGAAGAAUGAAGUUGGCAUUUAAUUUGUUGCAAUACUAUUUAAGAUGCAUGAAAUGUUGUUCACUGUGAGUUUUCAUUUGUAGACGCAGUUGUGGAAGGUUGUGAUGUUACAGGUUGCCAACCCUCGAGCAAAAUCUGUUGCCUUCUGUUACAACUGAUAUCUUUCAUUUGGAAGUUGAUUAAAUUGUAAGAAACUGUCAAUAUCGUCAAAAUAAAGAAGAAGAAGAGAGUCCAUCCUCAAUAGUCACCCUAGCUUCUAGCAAUAACUCAUGCUCCACACGAGACACCAGAUUCGUACUACAAAAACUGCUUAGUAGGAGAUCAGAAUCUGGUGUCAUAUUUUUGUUACAUUAAAACCAUCGUAAUGAAUGAAUGGAUUUUUUAAAAGUAGAAACAAAUGAGUUGGAUAUGUGUACAUUAGCUAAAAGGAAAAAAGAUAUUAGAAAAUGUUAUAUGUACAGUUGAUGAGGCCGUUCACCACCACGCGAAGCGCGGAUAAUUUACCUAGUCAUAAA